AGCGACUUAUAUUCUGUAGCAAGGUUAACCGAAUAGGGGAGCCGAAGGGAAACCGAGUCUUAACCGGGCGUUAAGUUGCAGGGUAUAGACCCGAAACCCGGUGAUCUAGCCAUGGGCAGGUUGAAGGUUGGGUAACACUAACUGGAGGACCGAACCGACUAAUGUUGAAAAAUUAGCGGAUGACUUGUGGCUGGGGGUGAAAGGCCAAUCAAACCGGGAGAUAGCUGGUUCUCCCCGAAAGCUAUUUAGGUAGCGCCUCGUGAAUUCAUCUCCGGGGGUAGAGCACUGUUUCGGCAAGGGGGUCAUCCCGACUUACCAACCCGAUGCAAACUGCGAAUACCGGAGAAUGUUAUCACGGGAGACACACGGCGGGUGCUAACGUCCGUCGUGAAGAGGGAAACAACCCAGACCGCCAGCUAAGGUCCCAAAGUCAUGGUUAAGUGGGAAACGAUGUGGGAAGGCCCAGACAGCCAGGAUGUUGGCUUAGAAGCAGCCAUCAUUUAAAGAAAGCGUAAUAGCUCACUGGUCGAGUCGGCCUGCGCGGAAGAUGUAACGGGGCUAAACCAUGCACCGAAGCUGCGGCAGCGACACUGUGUGUUGUUGGGUAGGGGAGCGUUCUGUAAGCCUGUGAAGGUGUGCUGUGAGGCAUGCUGGAGGUAUCAGAAGUGCGAAUGCUGACAUAAGUAACGAUAAAGCGGGUGAAAAGCCCGCUCGCCGGAAGACCAAGGGUUCCUGUCCAACGUUAAUCGGGGCAGGGUGAGUCGACCCCUAAGGCGAGGCCGAAAGGCGUAGUCGAUGGGAAACAGGUUAAUAUUCCUGUACUUGGUGUUACUGCGAAGGGGGGACGGAGAAGGCUAUGUUGGCCGGGCGACGGUUGUCCCGGUUUAAGCGUGUAGGCUGGUUUUCCAGGCAAAUCCGGAAAAUCAAGGCUGAGGCGUGAUGACGAGGCACUACGGUGCUGAAGCAACAAAUGCCCUGCUUCCAGGAAAAGCCUCUAAGCAUCAGGUAACAUCAAAUCGUACCCCAAACCGACACAGGUGGUCAGGUAGAGAAUACCAAGGCGCUUGAGAGAACUCGGGUGAAGGAACUAGGCAAAAUGGUGCCGUAACUUCGGGAGAAGGCACGCUGAUAUGUAGGUGAAGUCCCUCGCGGAUGGAGCUGAAAUCAGUCGAAGAUACCAGCUGGCUGCAACUGUUUAUUAAAAACACAGCACUGUGCAAACACGAAAGUGGACGUAUACGGUGUGACGCCUGCCCGGUGCCGGAAGGUUAAUUGAUGGGGUCAGCGCAAGCGAAGCUCUUGAUCGAAGCCCCGGUAAACGGCGGCCGUAACUAUAACGGUCCUAAGGUAGCGAAAUUCCUUGUCGGGUAAGUUCCGACCUGCACGAAUGGCGUAAUGAUGGCCAGGCUGUCUCCACCCGAGACUCAGUGAAAUUGAACUCGCUGUGAAGAUGCAGUGUACCCGCGGCAAGACGGAAAGACCCCGUGAACCUUUACUAUAGCUUGACACUGAACAUUGAGCCUUGAUGUGUAGGAUAGGUGGGAGGCUUUGAAGUGUGGACGCCAGUCUGCAUGGAGCCGACCUUGAAAUACCACCCUUUAAUGUUUGAUGUUCUAACGUGGACCCGUGAUCCGGGUUGCGGACAGUGUCUGGUGGGUAGUUUGACUGGGGCGGUCUCCUCCUAAAGAGUAACGGAGGAGCACGAAGGUUGGCUAAUCCUGGUCGGACAUCAGGAGGUUAGUGCAAUGGCAUAAGCCAGCUUGACUGCGAGCGUGACGGCGCGAGCAGGUGCGAAAGCAGGUCAUAGUGAUCCGGUGGUUCUGAAUGGAAGGGCCAUCGCUCAACGGAUAAAAGGUACUCCGGGGAUAACAGGCUGAUACCGCCCAAGAGUUCAUAUCGACGGCGGUGUUUGGCACCUCGAUGUCGGCUCAUCACAUCCUGGGGCUGAAGUAGGUCCCAAGGGUAUGGCUGUUCGCCAUUUAAAGUGGUACGCGAGCUGGGUUUAGAACGUCGUGAGACAGUUCGGUCCCUAUCUGCCGUGGGCGCUGGAGAACUGAGGGGGGCUGCUCCUAGUACGAGAGGACCGGAGUGGACGCAUCACUGGUGUUCGGGUUGUCAUGCCAAUGGCACUGCCCGGUAGCUAAAUGCGGAAGAGAUAAGUGCUGAAAGCAUCUAAGCACGAAACUUGCCCCGAGAUGAGUUCUCCCUGACCCUUUAAGGGUCCUGAAGGAACGUUGAAGACGACGACGUUGAUAGGCCGGGUGUGUAAGCGCAGCGAUGCGUUGAGCUAACCGGUACUAAUGAACCGUGAGGCUUAACCUUACAACGCCGAAGGUGUUU
rnacentral:rRNA from 1 species